GACGAACGCUGGCGGCGUGCCUAAUACAUGCAAGUCGAGCGGAAUUGGGGGAGCUUGCUCCUUCCAGUUUAGCGGCGGACGGGUGAGUAACACGUGGGCAACCUGCCCUGCAGAUCGGGAUAACUCCGGGAAACCGGUGCUAAUACCGAAUAGUUUGGCGCCUCUCCUGAGGCGCUACGGAAAGACGGUUUCGGCUGUCACUGCAGGAUGGGCCCGCGGCGCAUUAGCUAGUUGGUGGGGUAACGGCCCACCAAGGCGACGAUGCGUAGCCGACCUGAGAGGGUGACCGGCCACACUGGGACUGAGACACGGCCCAGACUCCUACGGGAGGCAGCAGUAGGGAAUCUUCCGCAAUGGACGCAAGUCUGACGGAGCAACGCCGCGUGAGUGACGAAGGUUUUCGGAUCGUAAAACUCUGUUGUGAGGGAAGAACACGUACCAACUAACUAUUGGUACCUUGACGGUACCUCACCAGAAAGCCACGGCUAACUACGUACCAGCCGCCGCCGUAA
rnacentral:rRNA from 1 species